rnacentral:lncRNA from 1 species
GAGUGGCUGGACUUGUGUGAAGCGAAGGGGUUGCAAGACGCUCCCCCUUCCCUUUUCUUUUUUAUUGGGGGUGGUGGUAGUGUUUGAGGACAUUGCGUCACCUCUCUUCGGGGUGGAGGGGGGGAAUCUCUGCUUAUAGGAGUGUAUUUUGUGAGGAAGAAAACCCAUAAAAUAUCCACGACCUUGCAGCUGUUAAGAAUCCAGACUUUUCAGUCCCAGGGCGGGGCUGCCUUUCCCCCCAUCCCGCUCCCUUUCUUUGGACUAAAGGGAAAGCCUUCCUUUCCUGGGGAUGGGACGCCCGUUUCCACUGAAAGUGAAAUCACUGUGAACAACCUGAAAAUUGGAAAGUUGGACCAGCUGUGGGGAGAGAAAGGUCUUCGUGUCCUUUCCCACGUUCACCGUGCCAGUUACACACAAAGCAGAGAUUUUUUUGCUUGAAUCAUUAAAAGCCGGGUGGGUGGGGGGCACCCUAUGUACUGUCUUGCCCUCCUUCGGCCCCUUUCUCACAUUUAUUUGCCAUUUUCUUUUUGCUGACAAGUUCCAUUACAGAAUGCCCCCUCCAUCCCCCGCCGCCAGAUUUUUUAUAUUUCAAUUGUUAUUUACUCCAAGAGUGUGGAAAGUUCUCCUUUAAGAUUCCCCCGCCUUGAACUCUAAACUCAGAGUGGAAAGGGAAUCUGAAAAGUCUCUCAUUUAGCAACACAUCACAUCAGUCCUUUUUGUCAGAUAAACACAGGCACAAUUGCUUUUAAAGAUCUUCAGAAGGAGGAGUCCACCACUUCCACAGUAGAUCCAGAGAGACCCGAACUGAAUGCUUUGCCUUCUCCUUGUGUUAGGAGUUCAGAGGUUCCAUUUGCUUUAAAACACAAGAAGCUACUAAUAAAAUAUAUUUAUUUCGGCAAGGUACCUAUUUUCUCCAAAAGUUUCACCUUCAGUAAUUGCCACAGGAGUAAUUAGAACUCUGUGUUCUAUAAAAUGCCUGACACAUUAAAGACACAAAAUUAGCAUUUGUUUUUAUUCAUGCAAGGAUUUAAAACCAAACCAAAACAAAGCAAAACACCCAGCAAAUAUCAGUUUCCUACAAAUAGUGUAAAAAAACCUCUUGAGGAAUCUUUGUGACCCACACUCCAAAUUGAAAGAGUGCCAUGGAUUUCCCCAAAUUUAGAAUCCUGUCUGGGUUAGAGGAUUUUUUUGGAAUUUCUCAUCACUUGACAAAACAGUUUUCUCUUUUCAAAUAUAAAAGAGCUCCUUGUAAAAUGCUUGGUAAAUUUCUGGGAAGCCGAGUGUUUCUUCCAGAGGGAAGGAUACCUGGAAAUCCGGAUGUAAGCAAGAUAAACCUGUAGCUAAAGCUUUCUUAAAAUUCAUUGAUUCUGGGGGAAGGAAAUAAGUGAUUAGAAAAGUAUUUGGUCAACCAAAACCAUGAUAGUUUGAUAUAUUUACUGCACUGAAAAUACACUAGAAUCAUAUGCAUAGUGGAGCUUGAAGUGGAAAGCCCACCUUACAUUUUGGAAGAAACUUUUAUAUUUCAAUCCCAUAGAUAUCUAAUUUAUUUAAGGAAACAGGAUAUCUCUGUCUCAUAAGAAAAAAAAUAACAUCUGACUGAUUUUUAUAGGAAUGCUUGGGAGUUUACUCUUUUACUUGAAAGGUUUUUUUUUUUUUUGCCUUUUUUUUUAAACUUUAGAAACAGAGGCGUUUCUUAGUUAAGAUAACAGGGCUUACUACAGUAUUCUUUAAUUAUCAAGGUCCCUUGUAACUCUAAGUCUGUUAUCUCUAAUUGGAGAGAUAAUUAAAUCUUAAAGACCACUCUGACUCUAAUUCAACCAACGUGUGUGGUGUCCAGGAUCGUUGGACUUCCUUAAGAAUUCUAUUUUAUCCAGGUGGGUUCUUCCUCAGUAAAUUGUAUUCUCCUAUUGGUAGGAAAUACUCUUGGAUUUCUUUCUUUCUUUCUUUUUCUUUCUUUCUUUCUUUCUUUCUUUCUUUCUUUCUUUCUUUCUUUUUCCUUCUUUCCUUCUUUCUUUCUAAAACUGUAUUCAGAGAGAGAAAUGUGACAAAAAAAGGGAAAUCAAUAGAGACAGAAAGUAGAUUCAUGGGUACCCAAGUUUAUGGGCUGGGAACAGGAAUUAACUGUAAAAGGGCACAGGGAAUCUUAUUGAGGUGAUGGAAAUCUGUGUUCUAAAACUACAUUGCAGUGAUGACUGUACAAUUUGGUAAAAGCUUCAAAAUUCUGGGGAUUAUACACAAAAUGAGUGAAUUUUACGGUAUGUAAAUUAUGCUUCAAUAAAG